rnacentral:rRNA from 1 species
AACACAUGCAAGUCGAACGAUGAACCUCACUUGUGGGGGGAUUAGUGGCGAACGGGUGAGUAACACGUGAGUAACCUGCCCUUGACUCUGGGAUAAGCCUGGGAAACCGGGUCUAAUACUGGAUACGACCUUCCCGCGCAUGCGGUGUUGGUGGAAAGCUUUUGUGGUUUUGGAUGGACUCGCGGCCUAUCAGCUUGUUGGUGGGGUAAUGGCCUACCAAGGCGACGACGGGUAGCCGGCCUGAGAGGGUGACCGGCCACACUGGGACUGAGACACGGCCCAGACUCCUACGGGAGGCAGCAGUGGGGAAUAUUGCACAAUGGGCGCAAGCCUGAUGCAGCGACGCCGCGUGAGGGAUGAAGGUCUUCGGGUUGUAAACCUCUUUCAGUAGGGAAGAAGCUGGUCCUUUUGGGGUUGGUGACGGUACCUGCAGAAGAAGCGCCGGCUAACUACGUGCCAGCAGCCGCGGUAAUACGUAGGGCGCAAGCGUUAUCCGGAAUUAUUGGGCGUAAAGAGCUCGUAGGCGGUUUGUCGCGUCUGCCGUGAAAGUCCGGGGCUUAACUCCGGAUCUGCGGUGGGUACGGGCAGACUAGAGUGCAGUAGGGGAGACUGGAAUUCCUGGUGUAGCGGUGAAAUGCGCAGAUAUCAGGAGGAACACCGAUGGCGAAGGCAGG